GAGAAUUUUACAUCUCGCGCAGUGAUGGAAGCUGUGGGUUCUUGUCUCACAAACAAGUAUUCAGAAGGGCUUUCUGGUAAAAGGUAUUAUGGUGGCAAUGAGUACAUUGAUGAUCUAAAGACACUUUGUCAACAAAGGGCUUUGUUCAUGUAACUGGCACAGGGUCUGGAUCUUCCUCAUGGAGGUCACUUGUCACAUGGAUUUAUGACUCCUAAAAGACGGGUAUCUGGGACUUCGAUUUAUUUUGAAUCGAUGCCCUACCGUCUUGAUGAAUCAACAGGCCUUAUUGAUUAUGAUAUGCUUGAGAAAACUGCCACCCUCUUUCGACCAAAACUCAUCAUUGUUGGUGCUAGUGCUUAUCCUCGUGAUUUCGAUUAUCCUCGAAUGAGAAAG